rnacentral:lncRNA from 1 species
CUGAAGUGGUAAAGCAAAUAUCCACUUAUAUAAUAAAGAGGGGAAGAGCAGAGGGAGAUAAAUCUCCAAUUUCCAGAUGUAAAUGGUAUCUAUACAUAUUCACCUGUGAAAGAUUAGGAAAUGGAAACAUUAGCUUAUUUGAUUUUCUUGCAUCUAGUAAUAAGUAUUCAGUGAUCUUGUGUGCCAAGCACUAUCUGAAGUACCUUACAUACAUUUAUUCAUUUAAUCUGUGAAGCAACUUCAUGAAGUAGAAACCAUUUUCAUUAUUUUACAGUUGAAAGGAGGCUUAGGGAAGUUAUAUAACUUGUCCAAGGUCACACAGUUUAAGUAGCACAGUUAUGAUUUGAACUCAGUGUAUCAGACUCUCAAGCCUUCCAUAUAGCUUCCCAAAAGCAGAUUACAAGAACCAGGCAAGGCACAGAAUUUCACAGUAAAGCUUGUCCCUGAACAUAUGACCUUCAGAUUAAUAGUGGGACAUGUAAAUCAUUAUAGCCACAGAGAAACUUUAAAAGGAAAACAAAAAAUACAAAAUUAACCCUGAUUUAUUGGUGGCUAAGGACAGUUAGUUGCCCAUGUAUAUUUGUGAAAUGACUUAUACAGGAGGCAAUGCUACCAUGAUCUGUAAAUUCUUAGAUAUGAACAAAUAUAGAAUCAUUUUGAAUACAAUAAAAAUCUUUGUAUUUCUAGCAUCUUAUAAAUUACCAAUGGCUUUUACAUAUCUUAUCUCUUUUAAUCCCCACAACAGCCCUGUGAGCCAGUCAUUCUUGGCCUCAUGUUAUAGAUGACAAUUUUGAAGCUUAAAGAGGUUAAGUGACAUACCCAAGAUCACACAACUAGCAAAGCUGAGGCUCAGACUCAGGCUUUUUGACUCAAAUGUGGCUUGUCUUUUACCAAACCACUUACCUCUCUACUGGGUUGUUUGGCUUUUCUCCAAAGCCAGGUAGAAGUUUUUCACAUUGAGGUUUUUCAGAAAUUCUUACUUAGAUAUUUCAUCUUUCUGUAAAAGGCAGAUUUAUUGGCCCACAAAUUUGGGGAGCCAUAUUCAUUUUUAUAUUUGGCAUAGCUUAUGCCCAGGUCCUCUCCAUAAGGGUGUACUUUUAUCGAGUUAGAAUUGUUGAGUUAGAUUUAGAUGUGUAUAUAGAAUGUUCAAAGUAGCUUCCCACAGUCCGGUUUUCUCUUGGGGGUGAGGAGUUCCAGGCCUCCGAAGCCAAACCGUUCAGAAUUGGUAGCCAAAUACACCAUUGACUGCAGCAGAGCAAUGCAAUUGCUGAACAUUCCCCUUAUACAAGAUCAGUUUUGAAUAAAUGCAUGGAAACACGAUAAGCUAAGAGGCUCAAUUUAUCUUUGCUUAUUAGUAGCUCUAGCCAGCAUAUGACCCGUAGUCUCUAUGAACAACUCUUCUGAUGGAUUUUAUAUGCCUUGUGUGAUGUGAAAGAUGAGUAAACAAACCCUUUAUUGGAAAUACAUGAGGUUUUGUGGGGGGAAGUAGGAAAGAAUGUGUCAAAUUGUGAUAAGUGAUACUGUGUAGAGUAUUUCUGAUUGAACAUCCAGUAACUAACCUUUUAAGCUUCCGGUUUUUUGUUGGUAGCAGGCAGGAGAAAAUAACCAGAGGAAUGUGGAUUGCUUGCAGCUAACCGGGACCUGUUCAUCUGGCUGCCGUGCAGUGGCUCAAACCAGCGAAGGCUCACUACAACCUCCGCCUCACAGGUUCAAGCGAUUCUCCUGCCUCCUGAGUAGCUGGGAUUACAGGUGCACACCACCAUGCCCGGCUAAUUUUUUUGUAUUUUUAAUAGAGACGGGGUUUCACCAUGUUGGCUAGGCUGGUCUCGAACUCCUGACCUCAGGUGAUCUGCUCGCCUUGGCCUCUCAAAGUGCUGGGAUUACAGACGUGAGCCACCGUGCCUGGCCGAAGGUUCAAGCUUUUAAAUCCAAAUAGAAUCUAGUGAUUAGAUUGAUGCAGAAAUUUAAACUGUACUUGGGCAUCACUUGCUUCCAUUGGCUCACCAGUGAUUGUAGCUGAUACAGUUAUGUGACAAAAGAUUCAUUCAUUUAGCAAACAAAUCAGAGGUGCUUAUUGUGUGUCAGGCACCAGACAUUGAUUUUUCUUUUUAGACAUUGAUUUUAUAUUAACUAUUAGUUUCCAUGUUACUUUACCUUGAAUUGGGUCAGUAGAUGAGAAAUUUUCCUGGGGAGACACACUCUUCAGAAAAGGUCUAAUUUAGGGAGGUGUUUUGAAUAAGAUUAAUUUCCCAAAUUUCAACAAAACUUUGUCCAAGAACAUCAUACAAAGUGUCUACCCUACGCUUUUAUUCC